UGCACUGUCAGUAUAGUCUAGUUAUCUAUUUUAACUCUACUCUCCUUCCUACAGGGCUAAAGUCGCUAAGCACUGUCAGUAUAGUCUAGUUAUCUAUGUUAACUCUACUCUCCUUCCUACAGGGCUAAAGUCGCAAUGCACUGUCAGUAUAGUCUAGUUAUCUAUGUUAACUCUACUCUCCUUCCUACAGGGCUAAAGUCGCUAUGCACUGUCAGUAUAGUCUAGUUAUCUAUGUUAACUCUACUCUCCUUCCUACAGGGCUAAAGUCGCUAUGCACUGUCAGUAUAGUCUAGUUAUCUAUGUUAACUCUACUCUCCCUGCCAGGUACAUUUUAUUUUGCUUCAGUUAAUUAUAUUCAUCAGUGGAAAAUGAAUAAAUCAGCUUAGUGUAGUCUGCCACUAGCACAGUCAGUGUAGUCAGCUCAUCUAUCCCCAUUGAGACUGUGUCUGUGCCUUGAUCUAGGUUGGGCAAAACUAAACAUGGCGGUAUUCGCCUUAGCAAUCUCACUGGAAUAAAGACCUCCUUCAUUCCUGUCAUUAUUGAAAGAAAUUGUGAUAUCUCACCUCACAAAAUAGUGCUACUCAAUCGCUCACUUCCAAGGCAGUUAUAGUCAAUGAACUAUAAUCUUGAUGUGAUCGGCCUGACUGAAACAUGUCUUAGGCCUGAUGAAUUGACUGUGUUAAACGAGGCUUCUCCUCCUGGAGAACAGCCCUGAAGCAAGCUUCCAGAAAAUUGGAACGGAAUGGCGCAACACCAAACUGGAAGUCUUCCGAUGAACUUGGAAAGACAGUACCGUGCAGUAUCGAAGAGCCCUCACUGCUGCUUCAUCAUCCUAAUUUUCCAACUUAAUUGUAGAGAAUAAGAACAAUCCUACAUUUAUUUUUUAUACUGUCGCAAAACUAUCUAAAAAGCAACAUUCCCCAGGAGAAGAUGGCUUUCACUUCAGCAGUGAUACAUUCAUGAACUUCUUUGAUGAAAAGAUCAUGAUCAUUAGACAGCAAAUUACGGACUCAUCUUUAAAUCUGCGUAUUUCUCCAAAGCUCAGUUGUCCUGAAUCUGCACAACACUGGGAGGACCUAGGAUCAAGGGAGACACUCACACAUUUUUUAACACUAUGUCUCUUGACACAUUGAUGAAAAUAGUCAUGGCCUCUAAACCUUCAAGCUGCAUACUGGAACCCUUUCCAACUAAACUACUGAAAGAGCUGUUUCCUGUGCUUGGCCCUCCUAUGUUGAACACAAUAAAUGGCUCCCUAUCCACCGGAUGUGUACCAAACUCACUAAAAGUGGCAGUAAUAAAGCCUCUCUUGAAAAAGCCAAACUUUGACCCAGAAAAUAUAAACAACUAUCAGCCUAUAUCAAAUCUCCCAUUCCUCUCAAAAAACAUGUAAAAGCUGUUGCACUGCAACUCACUGCCUUCCUGAAGACUAACAACGUAAACGAAAUGCUUCAGUCUGGUUUUAGACCCCAUCAUAGCACUGAGACUGCACUCGUGAAGGUGGUAAAUUACCUUUUAAUGGAGUCAGACCAAGGCUCUGCAUCUGUCCUCGUGCUCCGAGACCUUAGUGCUGCUUUUGAUACCAUCGAUCACCACAUUCUUUUAGAGAGAUUGCAAACCCAAAUUGGACUACACGGACAAAUUCUGGCCUGGUUUAGAUCUUAUCUGUCAGAAAGAUAUCAGUUUGUCUCUGUGGAUGGUUUGUCCUCUGACAAAUCAACUGUACAUUUCUGUGUUCCUCAAGGUUCCGUUUUAGGACCUCAAUUGUUUUCACUAUAUAUUUGACCUCUUGGUGAUGUCAUUCGGAAAUAUUAUGUUAACUUUCACUGCUAUGCAGACGAUACAUAGCUGUACAUUUCGAUGAAACAUGGUGAAGCCCCAAAAUUGCCCAUACUGGAAGCCUGUGUUUUUGACAUAAGGAAAUGGAUGGUGGCAAAUGUUUUGCUUUUAAACUCGGACAAAACAGAAAUGCUAGUUAUAGGUCCCAAGAAACAAAGAGAUCUUCUUUUGGAUCCGACAAUUAAUCUUGAUGGUUGUACAGUCUUUUGACGAACAUAUCAAGACUGUUUCAAGGACAGCUUUUUUCCAUCUAUGUAACAUUGCAAAAAUCUGAAACUUUCUGCCCAAAAAUGAUGCAGAAAAAUGUAUCCAUGCUUUUAUCACUUCUAGAUUAGACCACUGCAAUGCUCUACUAAACACGGCUGCUAGAAUCUUGACUAGAACCAAAAUAUUUGAUCAUAUUACUCCAGUGCUAGCCUCUCUACACUGGCUUCUUGUUAAGGCUAGGGCUGAUAUCAAGGUUUUACUCCUAACCUAUAAAGCAUUACAUGGGCUUUCUCCUAUCUAUCUUUCCGAUUUGGUCCUGCCGUACAUACCUACAUGUACGCUACGGUCAAAAGACGCAGGCCUCCUUAUUGUCCCUAGAAUUUCUAAGUAAAAAACAGCUGGAGAAAGGGCUUUCUCCUAUAGAGCUCCAUUUGAAGUCUUUCUCCUUUAAGUCUUUAUUGAAGACUCAUCUCUUCAGUAGGUCCUAUGAUUGAGUGUAGUCUGGCCGAGGGGUGUGAAGGUGAAUGGAAAGGCACUGGAACGACGAACCGCCCUUGCUGUCUCUCUCUGCCUGGCCGGUUCUCUGCCUCUCUCCACUGGGAUUCUCUGCCUCUAACCCUAUUACAGAAGCUGAGUCAUUGGCUUACUGGUGCUCUUCCAUGCCGUCCCUAGGAGCGGUGCAUCACUUGAGUGGGUUGAGUCUCUGACGUGAUGUUCCUGUCCGGGUUGGCUCCCCCUUCUGGUUCGUGCCGUGGGAGAGAUCUUUGUGGGCUGUACUCUGCCUUGUCUCAGGGUAGUACCUUGGUGGUUGAAGAUAUCCCUCUAGUGGUGUGGGGGCUGUGCUUUGGCAAAGUGUGUGGGGUUAUAUCCCGCCUGGUUGGCACUGUCUGGGGGUACAGUCGGAUGGGGCCACAGUGUCUCCCGACCCCUCCUGUCUCAGCCUCCAGUAAUUAUGCUACAAUAGUUUAUGUGUCGGGGGCUAGGGUCAGUCUGUUAUAUCUGGAAUAUUUCUCCUGUCUUAUCCGGUGUCCUGUGUGAAUUCAAGUAUAUUCCCUCUAAUUCUCUCUCUUUCUCUUUCCCUUUCUCUUUCUAUUUCUCUUCUCUUGGAGGACCUGAGCACCAGGACCAUGCCUCAGGACUACCUGGUCUGAUGACUCCUUGCUGUCCCCAGUCUACCUGGUCGUGCUGCUGCUCCAGUUUCAACUGUUUUGCCUGCGGCUAUGGAUCUCUGACCUGUUCACCGGACAUUCUACCUUGUCCCGGACCUGCUGUUUUCGACUCUCUCUCUCUACCGCACCUGCUGUCUCUAACUCUGAAUGAUCAGCUGACAUUUACUCCUGAGGUGCUGACCUGUUGCAUCCCCUACAACCACUCUGAUUAUUAUUAUCUGACCCUGCUGGUCAUCUGUGAACAUUUGAACAUCUUGGCCAUGUUCUGUUAUAAUUUCCACCCGGCACAGCCAGAAGAGGACUGGCCACCCUUCAGAGCCUGGUUCCUCUCUAGGUUUCUUCCUAGGUUCCUGCCUUUCUAGGGAGUUUUUCCUAGCCGCCGUGCUUCUACAUCUGCAUUGCUGGCUGUUUAGUGUUUUAGGCUGUGUUUCUGUAUAGCACUUUGUGACAAGGGCUUUAUAAAUACAUUUGAUAGAUUGAUUGAACGUAUUUAUGUUUUAAAUCGCGGUUUCCAGGCACACUGGCCCAGACCUGGUCUGUUUGGUACCAUGACAGGGACAGGACUACCGUUAUCUGUGCAUCAAAAGGCUCAUCAGUGGUAUUUGACUGUACAUACAUAUAUUUGACUGUACAUACCCAGCUACCCAGAUAGUUAGAAGAAUUACAUGGUUCACUCCGAGAGGCGAUACAAAACUAGACGGCUCACAGCAAGUUGAUGGAGUGUAUAACACAUCUAGACUGAUUAAAACAAGAUACAGUAGAAGAACAGAGUUUUAUGACCAAGACAAUAACUGCACACUGAAACUCAACAAUGUGACUGAAGAUGACAGCAUUCUUCUUCGGAAUUGAUGCAAAUUAAGAGAGACAACGUCACCCUGGCCUGCACCUCCACCUGUAAACUUCCUCAAAUGGAGUUCAUCUGGCCUCCCACUCCCUGGUUUCUCUGGUGUCCAUGGUGGACAGUGUCCUCUAGGUCCACUUUCCCCUAAUGACACUUGGUGCUACUCCUGUGCUCUGGGGCAAGGCACAUCUACACCAAUACUUCUGGAUGUGAGAUAUGCUCCAAGGGGCGUUUCUGUUAAGGUCAGCCCGAGCCCCGAGGUAGUGAAAGGUCUGACUCUGACCUGCAGCAAUAACGCCAACCCUGCAGCAGAGACCUACACCUGGUUUCAGAGGUCAGGACGGCUAACUACACUAAAAUUAGGGACGGGGAAAGAACACACCUUCAACGAAAUCGAUUCUGAUGACAGUGGACUGUACUUCUGUAUGGCCCAGAAAGCCCUUGGAUCACAGACCUGGAGGUGAAAGUUAAAGAAUCAGCCCAUUUAAUGGUGGUCCUGGCAGCAUUUUGGGCUCUCUUCCUUGUCACUGCAGUGAUUGUGGUGCUCAACAUUUACAUAAAAAGACAGAAGUGGAACACGGCAGAGAAGAAGCUUCCUACCAAACCAGUCCCCCAGUUCGGUGAUCAGAUGAAAGUACAGCACUAACAGUGGCCUUACUCUGGUUGUCAUUGCAAAUCUGGUUGUCAUUGCGAAUGGGCUAUGUUGUCAUUUCGAAACAAACCUUACACAUGUAAUUUAUUGUUCUGUUUUUCUUAGAUAAUAAAAACCAGCUCGCAUGAAAGUGAAUGGUAAAUAUGUAAAUCAAUCCCAUUGAACUUUGAGUUAGUUAAAGUAUGCCAAUGAGUAGCAAGAGAGUCAUUCUAUGCCUGGGGCCAGUGCUCAGUAUUUUGACUGUAUUCUGACUGUUAGAUACAGAAAGCAACAUUGUGUACACCAGAGGACAUCUAUGAAAACAUGAGACGGUCAGCCAAGCCGAUCACUGAUCCUGAUGACAUGAACUACUCAAGUACGCAACUACACAAGCUCCAUGUCAGCCUUGCUCCUUCACCCAGGUAAAUAACCAGAGUGAGUGAGACACAAAGUAAAUUUCACAAGGAAAAUAAUGUGUAUCAAAACAAUUGCAUAAUAACUUGCAAAAAUGUGUCCCCAACAAUUCAACAACAGGCUUACAUUACGUAGUAUCUGUAAUUUAGUAAUAACUACUAGAUAAAUACAAAUAUAGCUCUGCACUAAAACUUGUUCCCCUUAAAAGGAGGCAGUGGAUGACGAUGCAGUUAACUACAGCCAACUGCAAACACACUGAGGUGGUCAGAGAACUUUGAUUUCUAGACCACAAGUCCUAUAGUAUGGUAAACUCAAGAAAAGUGAAUGAAAAACAGCAUGUUUUUAUUUCACAUUUUUUUAAAUAGCAAAAUGCAUAGCUGUUAUACUGUAUGUGUAUGUACAAACAAUGUACAGUGUACAAUGUACAAAAUAAACUGUAAGAAAGUGGAUAAUUAAACAAAUACAAACAUAAAAUUAUUAUAUGAGCAAUUUGCAAUUUAACAACAGAUUAGGUUAAAAAUAAGCACAUCAUAUAGCUCUGUAAUAUAUGAGCUCUGUAUAUUCCGCAUGAUUAACACUUGAAGAGAUGUCAUUUUGACACGUUGUUAUUUGUUAAUGUGAUUAUGCGGUAUACUGUAUAUCAGGGUUGCCCACCCUCUUCCUGGAGAUCUACCGUCCUGUAGGUGUUCAGUCCAACCCUGAUUUAACACACCUGAUUCUACUAAUUAGCUGCUCAACAAGACCUUAACUAGCUGAAGAUAUGCUAAAUUAGGGUUGGACUGAAAACCUACAGGACAGCAGAUCUCCAGUAAGAGGGUUGGGCAGCCCUUCUGUAUAUUGUUAAUAUGUUCGGAUAAAAUGUCCUUAUUAAAUAAUGAUAUGUCACUUACAGAUUUUUUUGCAGAUUAAAGUGAAUAUAGACUUCAAUAAAUAACGAGUUAUGAUUCAAUUAAUGAACUACGAAGGUCUCCCUGACAAUUUACAGCCGCCUUAAUGUACUGAAAUAUAACACGAAUGUACUGAAAUAUAACAUGAAUGUACUGAAACAUAAAAGCAAGGAAAUGUAACACUUAAUAUGAGAUUACACAAGGCUGGAUGAAAUUACAACAAUCUGUCAAUGUUAGACUUUACAAUUCACAGAUAACUUUCCUAAUCCUUAUCCUUUCACAACAUGGACUGUCCUGGGAA